CGCAAGGUGGCGCAGUUGGUAGCGCGCUCGGCUCAUACCCGAGAGGUCGCAGGUUCAAGUCCUGCCCUUGCAACCA
rnacentral:tRNA from 1 species